UCCGACAAUAAGAAAAGGAAUCCCAGCCUUUUGACACACAUCCGUGGAACAUGCAGGCGGGAGAAAUGAGAUGCGCGCUUCCAGGUCUCUGAUUGUGGAAGGACUUCCUCUUCCUCCGCCACCGCCGUCUCUUCGGCCUCAUCGAGGUCGUCGGCCGACUCGUCCUCUUUGCUCGCCUGCUCCUGCUCCUCCUCCUCCUCGCGGAUUGCUGUGAUUGAAUCUACAGGAGAUGCUGUGUGAUCUGACAAAAGACCUCCCGUCUGCGCAGCUUUUUGGCUUCUUGCCGCUCUGUGGAAACAAAAGGAAAACUUGC